UAAGGUGGUUAUUGCGGCGGGGCUCACCUCUUCCCAUCCCGAACAGAGAAGUUAAGCCCGCCUGCGCAGAUGGUACUGCAGUUAUGUGGGAGAGUAUGUCGCCGCCUUUC
rnacentral:rRNA from 1 species